CCUCGAGUAGCUCAAAAGCAGAGCAGCCGGCUGAUAACCGGCAGACGACGGCGCGAUACCGUCUUCGAGGACCA
rnacentral:tRNA from 1 species